rnacentral:rRNA from 1 species
CUAGAGUUGAUCCCUGCUCAGAUUGAAUGCCGGCGGCAGGCUUAACACAUUCAAGUCGAGCGGCAGCGGGAAGAUAGCUUGCUAUCUUUCCGGCGAGCGGCGGAUGGGUGAGUAAUGCCUAGGGAUCUGCCCAGUCGAGGGGGAUAACAGUUGGAAACGACUGGUAAUACNGCAUACGCCCUACGGGGGAAAGGAGGGGACGUUCGGGCCUUCCGCGAUUGGAUGAACCUAGGUGGGAUUAGCUAGUUGGUGAGGUAAUGGCUCACCAAGGCGACGAUCCCUAGCUGUUCUGAGAGGAUGAUCAGCCACACUGGGACUGAGACACGGCCCAGACUCCUACGGGAGGCAGCAGUGGGGAAUAUUGCACAAUGGGCGAAAGCCUGAUGCAGCCCAUGACCGACGUGUGUGAAGAAGGCCUUCGGGUUGUAAAGCACUUUCCAGUAGGGAGGAAAGGUUAACAAUUAAUACUUGUUAC